CAGAACUUCUUGCUGUGAGUGAAAAAAUAAGCAUUUAAUUUGUUUAAGUCACUGUAUUGUGAGUUUUUCAUUAUUUGCAGCUUAAAGCAUUUUUAACUGAUUCAAAGAGGAAAAAACUCUGUUGUCCAGUCCAUCUUGGAUGGCUGCUGAUAUAUUUAUUGUCCAAUGGUUCCUUGAAAUUCAGUGAUAAACUGCUCGUGGGCCCCUGAACAUAGGAGAUGAUCAAGGCUGGGACCCUGAUACCUAGGGCUCCCAGGCCAUGCAGCGAUCCUAACUGAGGCCUGGCCUGGGAGCCAGGAGCAGGUGGCACUUUUCAAAUCUUUUGACUGCUAUCCCUCUUCUGAAUGAACAAGUUAACCCUUUUCUCCUCUUGCCACUGUCAUAGACACUUCUCUUUGAUCAAUUCAGGACAUUUAUUACACUCUCUUCUGUGAAUUGACGGGUGUACAAAUAAAUGCAGUGCCUUUUCUCAUGAAACUCCAUUUUUCAUUUAGCAACCAACCACCUCUGAGACAAGAGAGCAAAACCUGAGCUAUCUGCUUCAAAUGUAGGAUGCAAAACUGCACAAGUUAAUAUUGUAAUAAAUUACCUUGCUACACCUACCAGUCUAGCAAAAUAGUCACCAUGGCAAGACAGGGUGAGAAUGACAGCUGAUGAACUAGACUGACUUUUGAGCCCAGCGCUGACUUGCAUGGAUGAAAUUCCUUGGCUUGUUUCUCAUCUGCACAGCAGGUUUUCUGAAGAUGACCAGGGACGCUGCUUCAUCUUAAGCAAGAGAACUGGUGUGGUUUGGGUUUCACUGGCUGCUUCAUCAGAGCCCAUCAGAGGGAAAUCACAAGCUUUGGAGAGCUGAUUAAAGAAUUACAGAGUGUUAUUGCUCAUUGAAUCCAGCCUCCUCAUCUCACAGAUGGAGAAACCAAGGAAAGGAAGGGGUGAGUGACUUGCCCAACAUGACUUCCUGAAAUGACUUCCCAAGGGAGCCAGGGUCUGGACCAAGCAUUCUGCUCCCCAAUCCAGCACUCUUUCUGCCACAUCAUGGUGCAGAUUUCUAGGCACGAAUGAAAAAACACACUCUAACGAUUGUAAUUGACAAAGAUGUGGUACCUGUUAAUGACACUUCAGGCAUAUACAUAACAUUUUUAAAAAUAUCUUUUUCCCAUUGAGCAAUCUCAUUCCCAUAGUUGUCAUUACUACCUGUGUUAUCAAUGACUUAAAUUAGUAUCACCAGCUCUGACCUCUUCCAUGUAUACCAUCGCCCGUCCCAUAGGUCUACCUGUGUCAUUCACAGAUAAAUCUAAUACAUCCUUGCCAAAAUUGAGCUUAUUUUUUAUAUCGACCAAAUCUGUUCUCUAUUUUCUAUUUUGUUUCUUGGCUUGAUAAUAACUCAUUUGUCUAAGUCCUCACCAGACUUUUCCCUUCUCAUCCAAUGUAUUAGAAAAUUCUAUUGAUGUUACCUAGAAAUUUCUCACUUAUGUUCUCAUUUUUUCAUCUCUAUUUGCGCGUCUUAAUAACUUUUCACCUGGACUCUCUACCUUUGUCUCUUUCC
rnacentral:lncRNA from 1 species